rnacentral:rRNA from 1 species
GCACGACAGUGCGAUAGGGGGAUUCCGAGUGCGAGGGCAUACAGUCCUCGCUUUUCUGGACCGUAAGGAGGUCCAAGAAUAAGGGCUGGGCAAGACCGGUGCCAGCCGCCGCGGUAAUACCGGCAGCCCGAGUGAUGGCCGAUAUUAUUGGGCCUAAAGCGUCCGUAGCUGGCCAGACAAGUCCGUUGGGAAAUCCACGCGCUCAACGCGUGGGCGUCCAGCGGAAACUGCCUAGCUUGGGGCCGGAGGACUCGAGGGGUACGUCCGGGGUAGGAGUGAAAUCCCGUAAUCCUGGACGGACCACCGGUGGCGAAAGCGCCUCGAGAGGACGGACCCGACAGUGAGGGACGAAAG